rnacentral:rRNA from 1 species
UACGUAGGGUGCAAGCGUUAAUCGGAAUUACUGGGCGUAAAGCGUGCGCAGGCGGUUUUGUAAGUCUGUCGUGAAAUCCCCGGGCUCAACCUGGGAAUUGCGAUGGAGACUGCAAGGCUAGAAUCUGGCAGAGGGGGGUAGAAUUCCACGUGUAGCAGUGAAAUGCGUAGAGAUGUGGAGGAACACCGAUGGCGAAGGCAGCCCCCCUGGGUCAAGAUU